UACGAAGGGGCUAGCGUUGCUCGGAAUCACUGGGCGUAAAGCGCACGUAGGCGGACUUUUAAGUCGGAGGUGAAAUCCUGGAGCUCAACUCCAGAACUGCCUUCGAUACUGAGAGUCUUCGAGUUCGGGAGAGGUGAGUGGAACUGCGAGUGUAGAGGUGAAAUUCGUAGAUAUUCGCAAGAACACCAGUGGCGAAGGCGGCAUCACUGGCCCGAUACUGACGCUGAGGUGCGAAAGCGUGGGGAGCAAACGGG
rnacentral:rRNA from 1 species